UACGUAGGUGGCAAGCGUUAUCCGGAAUUAUUGGGCGUAAAGAGCGCGCAGGUGGUUGAUUAAGUCUGAUGUGAAAGCCCACGGCUUAACCGUGGAGGGUCAUUGGAAACUGGUCGACUUGAGUGCAGAAGAGGGAAGUGGAAUUCCCAGUGUAGCGGUGAAAUGCGUAGAUAUUGGGAGGAACACCUGCGGCGAAGGCGGCUACCUGGACAGAUACUGACGCUGAGGCGCGAAAGCUAGGGGAGCAAACGGGGAUUAGAUACCCCGGUAGU
rnacentral:rRNA from 1 species